rnacentral:rRNA from 1 species
AGCGAACGCUGGCGGCAGGCCUAACACAUGCCAGUCGAACGAACUCUUCGGAGUUAGUGGCGGACGGGUGAGUAACACGUGGGAACGUGCCUUUAGGUUCGGAAUAACUCAGGGAAACUUGUGCUAAUACCGAAUGUGCCCUUCGGGGGAAAGAUUUAUCGCCUUUAGAGCGGCCCGCGUCUGAUUAGCUAGUUGGUGAGGUAAAGGCUCACCAAGGCGAGGAUCAGUAGCUGGUCUGAGAGGAUGAUCAGCCACAUUGGGACUGAGACACGGCCCAAACUCCUACGGGAGGCAGCAGUGGGGAAUCUUGCGCAAUGGGCGAAAGCCUGACGCAGCCAUGCCGCGUGAAUGAUGAAGGUCUUAGGAUUGUAAAAUUCUUUCACCGGGGACGAUAAUGACGGUACCCGGAGAAGAAGCCCCGGCUAACUUCGUG